GACGAACGCUGGCGGCGCGCCUAACACAUGCAAGUCGAACGGAGCUGAGAGAAGCUUGCUUUUCUUAGCUUAGUGGCGAACGGGUGAGUAACGCGUGAGUAACCUGCCCUGGAGUGGGGGACAACAGUUGGAAACGACUGCUAAUACCGCAUAAGCCCACGAUCCGGCAUCGGCUUGAGGGAAAAGGAUUUAUUCGCUUCAGGAUGGACUCGCGUCCAAUUAGCUAGUUGGUGAGGUAACGGCCCACCAAGGCGACGAUUGGUAGCCGGACUGAGAGGUUGAACGGCCACAUUGGGACUGAGACACGGCCCAGACUCCUACGGGAGGCAGCAGUGGGGGAUAUUGCACAAUGGGGGAAACCCUGAUGCAGCGACGCCGCGUGGAGGAAGAAGGUUUUCGGAUUGUAAACUCCUGUCGUGAGGGACGAUAAUGACGGUACCUAACAAGAAAGCACCGGCUAACUACGUG
rnacentral:rRNA from 1 species